GCCAACAUACAUUAGAUCGGUGGAAUAAACUAUAAAUUGUCACAAAUACAAACAUUAGAUCGUUGAUUUGAUUAAAUAACUAUCCACUAAGCCAACAUACACAUGGAUGUGUUUGAUUAUGUGUAGAUCUACAUUUCAAAUCCACCAAGUGUAAAUAACCAGGCGUAUCAUCUAAUUCCCCCACCGUAGCACAUUAUCGAGCACGGGUGCUGCGCCAACUUCAUAAGUCUUCGGUAAAGUGUUCGGGAAGUCGUGUCGCAAAAAAAAAAAAAAAAAAAAAAAAAAAAGUGGAAAUUAAUUUGGAACCUUCCUAUUCCACCCGAGGUCCGCGUCGUCUUUCUUUGGAGAACCAGCUUGGAUAUUAUCCCGACCAACGCAUGCAUUAGCUCGACUCCUUUAAUUUCUGUCGAAUUUGCAAAUCCGGCCAUGGAAGAAACUUCAACUCACUUGUUUCAAUCUUUUUCGCGAAAUGGCCACGCUUUGGACACCACUCCGCGCACCCUUUCAAUCUUCCACAAAAAGCCUUAGCCUGCUUGCCGAAGGUACAAGGCAUUGCAACUGAUUCAACAAACGGUCCAGAUUCCGCCUCAACCUGCAUGAACGGUCGAGAUUACAUUAACUCCCAGCAGGACGAGUUUCUACAAAACAGCAUUGUGUUGCAAAGUUUCCGGGCAGAAAGUAAUUCCAAUCCAUAAUAACCAGAACAUUUUAACUAACCCAAAAAUGAAAUCAACCAUCCAAUUUGAAUCACCUUAAAUAUAAUUUGCAGAUUGAUAUCAUCAUAGAUUCAGAAAACCAUAUUUUUUUUACAUGAAAUCAAAACUAUAUUGUACCGAAUUUGAAUUCGACCGUAACAAAAUUCACAAUUUUUUUAAGAUUCAGAAUACGGUGGCUCUGAUGGCAUUUUGUUAGAAAUUUACUUUAAAUACAUACGAAUCUCCAAGUACUUAUAUGCUCGAAUCAACGAAAAUUAUACAAAAAUAUAAACACGCGAGCGGUACCUUACUUCAUGGACUCAAAUGAGAUACCUUCACAAUCUAUCGACAAAAUAUUAGAACUGUAAUUCAGUUCCAUCAAUGAAUUACAGAUGACCUCUAACUGUCUCUAUAUAUUGGACCUAUAAUUAUAGUUCGAUAUUCACAAGUCCAAUCCAAUAAUCUUUAUUAGACCAUAAUUAAUUUGAAUUGUCCAAUUUUACUUUAAUGUAGUUAUGUUCAAUUUCAGAAUAUUUUAUUUUGAUUUAUUUUUUUCAAUUGAACAGUAAAAAGACGUCGUUCGCCUUUUGGGCUAUUAUUUUCCUUUCAAAAUUUAUUUUUUUAAGAAAACACUAUUUUCGGAAGGAAAAAAACCUAAUUUUCCAUCGAGUUCAAUUUUACGGUUCAAUCAACGAAAUCAGACCGGUCAUAACAAUUGUUAGCGGUUUUAACCGGCAUGUUUGAUCCGGGUUUCGAAGCAUUGUUUCCGUUCCAAACGAGACAAUAAGUAGCACUUGAAAUAAAGAAUUUGAAAUCUAUUAACACUAAAUUUAUAAGUUAUAACACUAAAUCUACAACAGCAAAAUUUGAAGCCAAAUUUUUCAUUUAACUUCAAUUAUUAGUUCUCGAUUUAAUUUAAUGGAACCAUAUGAAUUAUUGGAAAAAUAUCUCUGAACCCACCGGCCAACUGAGUCACACGAAUCACACAAAACAAAAAUUAUCUCUGAUCACGAAUCCAUAAAAGAUUAUAGCUAAUUUUAGUUAAUUACAAAUUUAUAUAACAAAAAUAUGUAUUUUUUAUUUAUUUUAAUUAAAACCAUAUUAUAUAUACAUCAUAUGAUCUCCUCGGGACUAUCUGAUAAGAUAAGGUUGGUGCUUUAGUGUCUAUCUCUUCCGUUACCAGAAUUUAUUUUAUAACGUAAUAUCAAGAAAUAACUAAUUAUAGAAAUUAAUUCCCUCUCAAAUAAAUAAAUAAAAUAAAAUGUUUCUCAAAAAAAUAAAUAAAAUGAAUCGGGAAUUCCUUUUUAAUUGGUGCCAGCUGCCUAUCAGAUCUCGUGACUAGGAAUGUCAAACAACAACGAUAUGGAUAUCUGGGAAACAAUUAAAUAAUUUGGAUAUUCGGGUGGAUUUGAUUAGAAUUAGCAUCUAAGAAAAAAUAAUCUCAGUUCCUAUUCCUUAAUCAGAAAGGUAUGUGGUUUUCGGGUUUAUACUAUGGUACAUUGGGUGAAAUAUACUGCAUAAAUCUUUAUCAUUCAUAAGCCUCACAAAGACACACAUUCAUAUUGGUGUGUAUUGAUCAACACUAAUCUCACAAAGACACACAUUCAUAUUGGUGUGUACUGAUCAACACUAAUAAUUUACCCGGUGUAGCAUAGAAAAUUGUGGUUCCGAAAGUAAAAAGUAAUUCUAAUCAUGUUCCGAAAAAAAAGAUUGAAAAUAUCGAGAAUCGAAAUUCUAGAAUUAAUAGUUAAAAAAACUUGUUCCGAAAUUGAAAAUUUUGAACUAGGAUCCGGGGAAACACGGAAUUUCUAAUUUUUAAUUGUAACUGCGUUUUUUCGGUAACUUUUUUAUUUAUUUUUUCAAAAAUCAAAAUCAAUCGAAAAACGAAAUCUAGUAUUUAUUCAAAUUAAGUUUUAAAAAAUUAGAAAAAUAAAAAACAGAACUUGUGAAAUUUGUAAUGAAAAAUAUUGCUCCAACAUUAGAUUUAUUGAUAUCGAAAUCGACGGAAUUCAAAAAUUCUGCUCCAUAUAUAUACCCAUGUCUAAGGGGUGGGAACGAGCCGAGCUCGGCAGUUUUNNNNNNNNNNNNNNNNNNNNNNNNNNNNNNNNNNNNNNNNNNNNNNNNNNNNNNNNNNNNNNNNNNNNNNNNNNNNNNNNNNNNNNNNNNNNNNNNNNNNAUAUAUAUAUAUAUAUAUAUAUAUAUAUAUAUAUAUAUAUAUAUAUAUAUAUAUAUAUAUAUAUAUAUAUAUAUAUAUAUAUAUAUAUAUAUAUAUAUAUAUAUAUAUAUAUAUAUAUAUAUAUAUAUAUAAUUACAAUUUAGUGUUUAUUUUGUAAUUUUUUAAACUUUUUUAAUAAUAAUAAAAUAAUAAUUAAAAAUAUUAAGAAAAAAAAAACACAAUGAGCUUGGGCUCGAGCUCGACAAAAUUGACACGAGCUCGAACAAAAAAAGAAGGAACUCAACGAGCUCGAACUUGACAAAAUAUACUCGAGCCGAGCUCGAGUCUGCCAAGAGAGGUGAGCUCGGCUCGUUCACACCCCUACCCAUGCCAGAGAUAAAAAUUACCAUUUAAUAUGGCGCUUGAUACACAUAGAGGGUGUUUUACUGAGCUUAUAAGACGUUUAAGGGUUUAUAAGCUCUUUCAAAGUGUUUGGUAAUUUUUUUUUUAAAUCUUAAAAACUCAAAAAAUAAGUUGUUGAAAAGCAAAUAAAAUAUUUUUUAAAGAUACCUCUGUCUUACAUUUUUAUUUAAAAUCUUAUAAUAAAUAAAAAUAACUUAUAAAAUCAUUAUCGAAACACAUUAAAAAUUUAAUUAUAAAGUAAGAUCUAACAACUUAUCAACUCUUAAAACAACUUAUCAAAUUUACGAGUUUAUCAACUAUUUAAAAUAAGGUUAGCCAAACAGACCCUUAACUCCUUUAAUGCUUCAACUAUAGGGCGUGUAAUAAAUAGAGUUACCAUAUUUCCCCAAUUUAUAACAUGACUCGAAGUUUGUAAAAAUAAAUCAACCAUAAUGAUUAAUGUGAAAAGGAAAUAUAUUAAUAUCCCUUUAAAAAAUAAUAAGAAAUUACACUACAUCAUAAUAUUUUUCAUAUUUCACUAUUAGUAAUAAAAGAAUUGAAAUUAGAAACUAUGAUGAAUUCUUGUUCAGUAAUUUUUUUUAUUAACAUUUAAGAGUAUAAUAUGAAUAUUCUCUACGAGUAUAAUAUGAUUUGCAGAACAACCUAAUAUCUUAUAAUAGUUAAUAUCUUCAUAUUUGUUUUUGAAAAAAAAUAAAAUAAAAAAAAAAUCAAACCUUAAAAUGAAUGUUGGAACCACAAAAAUUGGAUACAGAACUACGUGUCAAAUUUUUCGAUUUGGCCCAUCGACUAGUGAAGGGUGACCUGAUUUCCAAACACUUUUUUUUUCUAUUUUUUUAUUUUUCUAUUUUUAUUUUUCUCCGCACGCAUUAGCAUGGCAACGUAAUAGAGCCAUUCUCUACGUACACUGUAACUGGACAAAAAUAGCCAAACACUCAUUUUCCAAAUUAAGGAAAUUUCAUAAAAUUCUUACAGCUUAUAUAUAAACACCAUCGACAAUGUCAUAUUUCCUUCAUCAACUUUGCCUAUUUAUUACUUACCACCCGAAAAAAAAAUUUAAAAAAAAAAGAAAAAGAAUGGGAGAAGAGAUUGAAAAAAAUACCUCAUUCACAAGUGCAAUGGCAGUUUCACUAACGGGAAGAAGAAAUAGUCCGGAACGUUACAUACUUCCCCUN
rnacentral:lncRNA from 1 species